rnacentral:rRNA from 1 species
GAUGAAUGCUGGCGGCGUGCCUAAUACAUGCAAGUCGAGCGGUAAGGCCCUUCGGGGUACACGAGCGGCGGACGGCUGAGUAACGCGUGGGAACGUGCCCCAAAGUGAGGGAUAACCUCGAGAAAUCGAGGCUAAUACCGCAUAUGGUCUUCGGAUUAAAGGAUUUAUCCGCUUUGGGAGCGGCCCGCGUACGAUUAGUUUGUUGGUGAGGUAAUGGCUCACCAAGACUACGAUCGUUAACUGGUCUGAAGAGGAUGAUCAGUCAGACUGGAACUGAGACACGGUCCAGACUCCUACGGGAGGCAGCAGUAAGGAAUCUUCCACAAUGGGCGAAAGCCUGAUGGAGCAAACGCCGCGUGCAGGAUGAAGGCCCUCGGUCGUAAACUGCUUUAUGAGUGAAGAAU